GGCGCAAACCAUUCUGCUUUCGAAAACACGGCGAAGUCCUCAGGCAGUACUGGAGACUUGUCCCGCAAGGUCGCCGAGGGGGUGAUUGUAGUUGAUCAGAGUGGCGCCGGACAUUAUAAGACCAUCAAUGAAGCAAUCAAUGCAGUCCCUCUUCACAACAAAUAUGCGGUCACCAUCAAAGUGAACCCUGGAAUAUACAUGUAAGGAGCUCAAUAUUCUAAUGCUUCAGUGUACACUUUUUUUCUUUUCUUUGCGGCCAUCAGCAGAAAUUUUUCUAUUUCUUUUUUCAGUUCAUCCGUAGGCAUUUGCGUAACUGGUUGCUACUCUGACUGUUUAAAUAGAGAUACACGAUCCUUUUGAGCUUGCAACAUGGGCAUAUGAAUCAAGUGUGGUGACUGAGCAUUGCAGUGAAAGGGUAAUGGUACCCAAGAGCAAGUGGCGCAUUACUUUGCAAGGAUCUGGCCGAGAUGUGACCAAAAUCACGUCGAGAAAUGCUGCAGGCGAUACAGGGACAACGUACACAACCUCAACCUUCGGCGUUAGCGCUCCUUACUUCACAGCGAGAAACAUCACAUUUGAGGUAAGACGGAGUGUUAUGGGCGCCUCAAAAGGCCAAGCCGUGUAUCAACCUUCCUACAGAAGCUUCUAACUGCCAGCAUAGGCCACAUUUAUCAAUUGUUCACCUGAAUCUCUGUUGUUUGCUGCGGUUGCUACCUCAGUGAUGGUACGCCAGUUUUUCUUGUUUGAGCUUGCAGUUAGCGCGGACCACCAUGUCUUUGUCUCCUUACAUUCUAACCACUCAAUCGUGAUAGAACUCGUCACCUCUUCAAAUCGGAGGAGCUCAGCAACAAGCGGUCGCGUUGCGAACAACGGGCGAUUUUAAUGCCUUCUACGGAUGUGCUUUCCUUGGGCAGCAGGACACUCUCUACGACGACAGAGGCCGCCAUUACUUCAAAGAAUCUCUUAUUGUGGGCUCUGUAGAUUUCAUUUUCGGCGACGGGAA
rnacentral:lncRNA from 1 species